rnacentral:rRNA from 1 species
CAAUAGCGUAUAUUAAAGUUGUUGCGGUUAAAAAGCUCGUAGUUGGAUUUCUGCUGAGAACGACCGGUCCGCCCUCUGGGUGUGUAUCUGGCUCUUUCUUGGCAUCUUCUUGGUGAACGUUGCUGCACUUGACUGUGCGGAGCGCUACCCAGGACUUUUACUUUGAGGAAAUUAGAGUGUUUCAAGCAGGCAUACGCCUUGAAUACAUUAGCAUGGAAUAAUAAGAUAGGACCUCGGUUCUAUUUUGUUGGUUUCUAGAGCUGAGGUAAUGAUUAAUAGGGAUAGUUGGGGGCAUUCGUAUUUAACUGUCAGAGGUGAAAUUCUUGGAUUUGCUAAAGACGGACUACUGCGAAAGCAUUUGCCAAGGAUGUUUUCAUUGA